GGAAGAUCAAAUCAUGACAGUAAGCUGAUCAGGUCACAGCUGGCUCUGGAAGAUGUGAUACAUUCUCUCACCACACAGGGGCGCUGUUGUCCUUUCGCUCACGGACUGACUGGGCUUCCUUGUAUCUAUGGUCUGACGGACAAACAGCCCCAUUCUCAGAGUUCAUAACGGAGUGCUUACAUUUCACUUGUGCAAUUCAAGAUAUAUUUAUUUUACCCUUUCAGUAUUUUUUAUUUUUUUUGUUGUUGAAAAAGUUACAACAUGUUAUUUUAAGCUAUACAGGUUUUGUGUUCUCAGAGGGAUGGGAUCAAAACACAGCAAGAUGACAAUUCAGUUAAUAAGGUAAAAGAGUUCCAUCCCCUUCAGACUAGUAAGGACAAUGUGCAUUAUAAUGCAGCUGUUCAGUUUGUUGACUGUGACACACAAACGCAGUCAUUUCACUGUGAGAACUGCAACGAGUAGUUGUUUCCGAUCAUAGACGGACUGUAAUAAUAAUAAUAAUAAUGUGUUUUAAAGCCUACAUACACACAAACAGGUUGUACUUUCUGGUCAAUUCAAUGUAGGCUUUUUUGUUGUUGCUUUUGAUGACAACAACAGUACACCAAAGUUCAGAAUAGAUGAACUAUGUUUCUGUGUGUUUGGCGUUUCUAAUGAUAAGCUAAGUGACGGCUGUAGUGGAGAGAUAGAGGCAGGAUAAAACACAACACAUCACUCAAAUGAUUGGUGAGAAAAUAGGUGAGGUACUGUACUGGCUAGAUGGGAUGUACUGUACUGUACUGGCUAGAUGGGAGGUCCUGUACUCUAUUGGCUAGAAGAGGUACUGUACUGGCUAGAUGGGAGGUACUGUACUGUACUGGCAAGAUGGGAGGUACUGUACUGGCUAGAUGGGAGGUCCUGUACUCUAUUGGCUAGAAGAGGUACUGUACUGGCUAGAUGGGAGGUACUGUACUGUACUGGCAAGAUGGGAGGUACUGUACUGGCUAGAUGGGAGGUACUGUACUGGCUAGAUGGUAGGUACUGUACUGGCUAGAUGGGAGGUACUAUACUGGCUAGAUGGUAGGUACUGUACUGGCUAGAUGGGAGGUACUGUACUGUAGUGGCUAGAUGGGAGGUACUGUACUGGCUAGAUGGUAGGUACUGUACUGGCUAGAUGGGAGGUACUGUACUGGCUAGAUGGGAGGUACUGUACUGGCUAGAUGGGAGGUACUGUACUGGCUAGAUGGGAGGUACUCCAUCUUAUUGGCUAGAUGGGAGGUACUGUACUUUAUUGGCUAGAUGGGAGGUACUGUACUGGCUAGAUGGGAGGUACUGUACUGUCUAGAUGGUAGGUACUGUACUGGCUAGAUGGGAGGUACUGUACUGGCUAGAUGGGAGGUACUGUACUGUACUGGCUAGAUGGGAGGUACUGUACUUUAUUGGCUAGAUGGGAGGUACUGUACUGGCUAGAUGGUAGGUACUGUACUGGCUAGAUGGGAGGUACUGUACUGUACUGGCUAGAUGGUAGGUACUAUACUGGCUAGAUGGUAGAUACUGUACUGUCUAGAUGGUAGGUACUGUACUGUCUAGAUGGGAGGUACUGUAUUGUAUUGGCUAGAAGGGAUGUACUGUACUGUCUAGAUGGUAGGUACUGUACUGUCUAGAUGGUAGGUACUGUACUGGCUAGAAGGGAGGUACUGUACUGUCUAGAUGGGAGGUACUGUAUUGUAUUGGCUAGAAGGGAGGUACUGUACUGUCUAGAUGGUAGGUACUGUACUGGCUAGAUGGGAGGUACUGUACUGUAGUGGCUAGAUGGGAGGUACUGUACUGGCUAGAUGGGAGGUACUGUACUGGCUAGAUGGGAGGUACUGUACUGGCUAGAUGGUAGGUACUGUACUGCAUUUGGCUAGAUGGGAGGUACUGUACUGGCUGGAUGGAAGGUACUGUACUGUAUUGGCUAGAAGAGGUACUGUACUGUCUAGAUGGUAGGUACUGUACUGUCUAGAUGGUAGGUACUGUACUGUCUAGAUGGUAGGUACUGUACUGGCUAGAUGGGAGGUACUGUACUGGCUAGAUGGGAGGUACUGUAUUGUAUUGGCUAGAAGGGAUGUACUGUACAGUACUGGGUGGAUGGGAGGUACAGUAUUGUAGUGGGUGGAUGGGAAUAUGUAAACCUAGCCAACAUAUCUGGGUUAGUAUUCUGUAUGUCAAAUUGAGACAUCCAGGCCCGCUAGCCAAAACGAACCGGUGUGUGACUGAACAUUGUUAACUAUGUUACUCGUAUAAUGCUCAUUUGGGGGGGAGGUGCUUAUGUUUGUCCUGGUACACACUUGUACAAGUCUGUAAUGGAAAUGUGUUUCUUACAUACUGAGACCCUGAGGGAGUGGGGUCGCGACCUUUUAGGGUGAUACCUUUCAGUAUUGGCUUCUGUACUCCCAACCCUAUUUUGUAAACCAGACACAGUGACGUGUGCAGUCUGGUUGAAAUACUGCUAUUCAGGCCUGUGAGCCGUCAUCACGACCUCGGCAACAAGUUGAUGUUUUCUCGCCCUCCUUCCCUGUUUACUGUUUUACGUUGCAUGGUUUUCUCACACUGCAUUUGAGUUAUUUCCAUGGUUAGACUGUAUUUCAAGCAACAACUCUUUUACUCAACACACAACGUGUUUCUAUUACAGUUAGAACAAAGAGGUCCCAGGUCUGAGUCGCUGUUCCAGGGUCGCUGUUCGCACGGUCGCUGUUCGCACGGUCGCUGUUCGCACGGUCGCUGUUCGCACGGUCGCUGUUCGCAGGGUCGCUGUUCGCAGGGUCGCUGUUCGCACUAUUCAAGGU